rnacentral:lncRNA from 1 species
GCCGUGUCCGAGCCCAGGAUCCGAACCUUCCAAGCCCCGGGCCGCUGAAGCGGAGCGUGCAAACUCAACCGCUCGGCCACGGGGUCAGCCCCUUCCUUCCUUCCUUCCUUCCUUCCUUCCUUCCUUCCUUCCUUCCUUCCUUCCUAAGGAGGAGGAGGCAGGCACUGUGUGAAGUCGCCAGUGAGUCUGUGGAAAGAGACGGAGGAUUUCCCAUGGGAAGCCGGGGCGGGGGACACGGACCGAUGUCGUGCGAACUUGAAGGAAAACCACACACGGGUACAGCCUAGGCCGGAUCUCAGGCCAAGUCGUCAGGGUGGCAAGAUGAUGGCGGAUGAGAGGAAACUUGUUCUGGGACCGCACCGCCCCCCCCCAUCGCCUCUCUGGCUGAGAAGAGGGCUGGGGAGCGGCCCGAGUCUGAGCUACGACAGAUUCCCCUGUGGCUCAACCCGCAACCUCCCAUCCUGCCAGACCAGACCCCUUGUCUAAAAACCUCCACUGGAGGAGCUCUUCCACCUGACUCGGAAAGGAAACACCAGCCCCGCCUCAGCCUCACACCCACCACCACCACCAC